GGUUAAGCGACUAAGCGUACACGGUGGAUGCCCUGGCAGUCAGAGGCGAUGAAGGACGUGCUAAUCUGCGAAAAGCGCCGGCGAGGUGAUAUGAACCUUUGACCCGGCGAUGUCCGAAUGGGGAAACCCAGUGUGUUCCGACACACUAUCGUUAACUGAAUACAUAGGUUAACGAGGCGAACCGGGGGAACUGAAACAUCUAAGUACCCCGAGGAAAAGAAAUCAACCGAGAUUCCCCAGUAGCGGCGAGCGAACGGGGAGCAGCCCGGAGUCUGAAUCAGCUUGUGUGUUAGUGGAACGGUCUGGAAAGUCCGACGGUACAGGGUGAUAGUCCCGUACACGAAAAUGCACAUGCUGUGAACUCGAAGAGUAGGGCGGGACACGUGGUAUCCUGUCUGAAUAUGGGGGACCAUCCUCCAAGGCUAAAUACUCCUGACUGACCGAUAGUGAACCAGUACCGUGAGGGAAAGGCGAAAAGAACCCCGGCGAGGGGAGUGAAAAAGAACCUGAAACCGUGUACGUACAAGCAGUGGGAGCACCUUCGGGUGUGACUGCGUACCUUUUGUAUAAUGGGUCAGCGACUUAUAUUCUGUAGCAAGGUUAACCGUAUAGGGGAGCCGAAGGGAAACCGAGUCUUAACUGGGCGUUAAGUUGCAGGGUAUAGACCCGAAACCCGGUGAUCUAGCCAUGGGCAGGUUGAAGGUUGGGUAACACUAACUGGAGGACCGAACCGACUAAUGUUGAAAAAUUAGCGGAUGACCUGUGGCUGGGGUGAAAGGCCAAUCAAACCGGGAGAUAGCUGGUUCUCCCCGAAAGCUAUUUAGGUAGCGCCUCGUGAACUCAUCUUCGGGGGUAGAGCACUGUUUCGGCUAGGGGGCCAUCCCGGCUUACCAACCCGAUGCAAACUACGAAUACCGAAGAAUGUUAUCACGGGAGACACACGGCGGGUGCUAACGUCCGUCGUGAAGAGGGAAACAACCCAGACCGCCAGCUAAGGUCCCAAAGUCAUGGUUAAGUGGGAAACGAUGUGGGAAGGCACAGACAGCCAGGAUGUUGGCUUAGAAGCAGCCAUCAUUUAAAGAAAGCGUAAUAGCUCACUGGUCGAGUCGGCCUGCGCGGAAGAUGUAACGGGGCUAAACCAUGCACCGAAGCUGCGGCAGCGACGCUUAUGCGUUGUUGGGUAGGGGAGCGUUCUGUAAGCCGUUGAAGGUGUGCUGUGAGGCAUGCUGGAGGUAUCAGAAGUGCGAAUGCUGACAUAAGUAACGAUAAAGCGGGUGAAAAGCCCGCUCGCCGGAAGACCAAGGGUUCCUGUCCAACGUUAAUCGGGGCAGGGUGAGUCGACCCCUAAGGCGAGGCCGAAAGGCGUAGUCGAUGGGAAACAGGUUAAUAUUCCUGUACUUGGUGUUACUGCGAAGGGGGACGGAGAAGGCUAUGUCAGCCGGGCGACGGUUGUCCCGGUUUAAGCAUGUAGGCGGAGGUUCCAGGUAAAUCCGGUACCUUAUUAACGCUGAGGUGUGAUGACGAGGCACUACGGUGCUGAAGUGAUAAAUGCCCUGCUUCCAGGAAAAGCCUCUAAGCAUCAGGUAACACGAAAUCGUACCCCAAACCGACACAGGUGGUCAGGUAGAGAAUACCAAGGCGCUUGAGAGAACUCGGGUGAAGGAACUAGGCAAAAUGGUGCCGUAACUUCGGGAGAAGGCACGCUGAUAUGUAGGUGAAGCCCCUGCGGGCGGAGCUGAAAUCAGUCGAAGAUACCAGCUGGCUGCAACUGUUUAUUAAAAACACAGCACUGUGCAAACACGAAAGUGGACGUAUACGGUGUGACGCCUGCCCGGUGCCGGAAGGUUAAUUGAUGGGGUUAGCGGCAACGCGAAGCUCUUGAUCGAAGCCCCGGUAAACGGCGGCCGUAACUAUAACGGUCCUAAGGUAGCGAAAUUCCUUGUCGGGUAAGUUCCGACCUGCACGAAUGGCGUAAUGAUGGCCAGGCUGUCUCCACCCGAGACUCAGUGAAAUUGAACUCGCUGUGAAGAUGCAGUGUACCCGCGGCAAGACGGAAAGACCCCGUGAACCUUUACUAUAGCUUGACACUGAACACUGGUCCUUGAUGUGUAGGAUAGGUGGGAGGCUUUGAAGCGUGGACGCCAGUCUGCGUGGAGCCGCCCUUGAAAUACCACCCUUUAAUGGCUGGUGUUCUAACGUAGACCCGUGAUCCGGGUUGCGGACAGUGUCUGGUGGGUAGUUUGACUGGGGCGGUCUCCUCCCAAAGAGUAACGGAGGAGCACGAAGGUUGGCUAAUCCUGGUCGGACAUCAGGAGGUUAGUGCAAUGGCAUAAGCCAGCUUGACUGCGAGCGUGACGGCGCGAGCAGGUGCGAAAGCAGGUCAUAGUGAUCCGGUGGUUCUGAAUGGAAGGGCCAUCGCUCAACGGAUAAAAGGUACUCCGGGGAUAACAGGCUGAUACCGCCCAAGAGUUCAUAUCGACGGCGGUGUUUGGCACCUCGAUGUCGGCUCAUCACAUCCUGGGGCUGAAGUAGGUCCCAAGGGUAUGGCUGUUCGCCAUUUAAAGUGGUACGCGAGCUGGGUUUAGAACGUCGUGAGACAGUUCGGUCCCUAUCUGCCGUGGGCGCUGGAGAAUUGAGGGGGGCUGCUCCUAGUACGAGAGGACCGGAGUGGACGCAUCACUGGUGUUCGGGUUGUCAUGCCAAUGGCACUGCCCGGUAGCUAAAUGCGGAAGAGAUAAGUGCUGAAAGCAUCUAAGCACGAAACUUGCCCCGAGAUGAGUUCUCCCUGAGACCUUGAGUCUCCUGAAGGAACGUUGAAGACGACGACGUUGAUAGGUCGGGUGUGUAAGCGCAGCGAUGCGUUGAGCUAACCGAUACUAAUGAACCGUGAGGCUUAACCUU
rnacentral:rRNA from 1 species